rnacentral:rRNA from 1 species
AAAAGCACUUUGAAAAGAGAGUUAAAAAGCACGUGAAAUUGUUGAAAGGGAAGCGCUUGCGACCAGACUCGCCCGCGGGGUUCAGCCGGUAUUCGUACCGGUGUACUAUCCCCGUGGGCGGGCCAGCGUCGGUUUGGGCGGCCGGUCAAAGGCCCUACGGAAUGUAACGCUACUCGGGGCG